UUCUAAAAAAAAAAAAAAAAAAAAAUUGUUUCUGGGAGACACGCGGGGCCCAGAAUACGAUAUAUACCCUAAAUUUUUACCAUCGCACUAUCAAUUAAACAGCGAAUACAUUUAUUAUUAUUACUUUUUUUUUUUUUUGAGUGCUAGAAUAGUUACUACAAAUUAAUCUUUUAUCGUAAUUUUGUAUUAUUUAAGAAAAUAUACCCCACACAUACACAGUCCAGUGGCGGCUCGUAUUGUAAGCAACGAGGCUAAUAUUUAGAAAAUGAUAAGGCGAUAGGGGUUUUAAUAUACGCGGGGAGAUGAAUCUAAUAUAGAUACUAUCAGAAAAAUGGAAACCGAAUCGCUGUCACCGUUAACGUUAUUAUUUAUUGCUUUUAGACUUUAUUUAUCGGAAUAAUUAUUUUGGAAAUUUAAAAAUAUUUAGAACCCGGUCAGUGUACUAUAGUAGUUAUGUAUUGUGUAAUUUUUCUGAAACCUAUCCGAAAUUAAUUUAGAAGACGGCGUUUAUGUAAUAAAUCGAGUAUGUCGUAGGCCGCAUAGAAAAUUAAUCUGUUUGCAAAAAGGCUCUUUGCGACGGGGUAACCCGUUAGCGAACUAUUUAUUAUUUUUCCAAAUGGCCAGUCGUUUUUCGGGUUUAUUACAGACAAAUAACAGUUAGGUCUUUUAAGGACUACAAUUAUUAUAAACCUAGUAAUUUUAUUGUAAUUUAUUACAAGUACAAAAAAAAAAAAGAACAC